CGAUUUAUUGGGGCUAAAGCGUCCGUAGCUGGCCCUGCAAGUCCGUCGGGAAAUCCACUCGCCUAACGAGUGGGCGUCCGGCGGAAACUACAGGGCUUGGGACCGGAAGACUUGAGGGGUACGUCUGGGGUAGGAGUGGAAUCCUGUAAUCCUGGACGGACCGCCGAUGGCGAAAGCACCUCAAGACGACGGAUCCGACAGUGAGGGACGAAAGCUAGGGUCUCGAAC
rnacentral:rRNA from 1 species